AUUUAUAUUAUUGCUUAUAUAUGAAAUGAUUGCAAUAAUUUGAAUACAUAAGUUUUAAUAUGAGAGUAAUUUUUUUUCUGUGCGGCAAACAGAGCUUUGGCUCCGGUUCGUGGGCGCGACGAAGCCGUUCUCAUGUGACAACUCGGAGGCGUGGGGCACGGGCGUACCCUAACGCUUUUGCGUGAAAGAAUAUUUAAAUAAAAAACCGUGUAAUUUCAGCUUAGACAUAUUCGUAUAGACAUCGAAAGGGAAACUUAUUGUUUUCGGCAGAAGAAACAUGUUCGGAAAAAGUGAGAAAGAAGAUUUAGUUACCUCUCUUUUGGAUGUUUGAAAGAACUACAGCUGUUUCUCUCUUGUGAGUUACUGCUCGAAAGUUCGCAUGCGUGACCAUCCAAGAGAGAGGCAACUAGACCUUCUUUCUCACUUCUUCCGGACGCAUUUCAGUUUCAUGUUCCCCUUUCAUAUCUAUGUUCUAAAAAUUUCAGAAUAGAUAUGAGCUCGGAUGUGUCGAUUUUGAGCGCCAGAAUGGUCGCUUCUCUUAAACAGCAGCAUAUUAAAUUUUGCAAUUUUAAAUAUUCUCUCUCUCUCUCUCUCUCUACUGGAGAAAAAAUUCCAGUAAUUUUACGUGUUUUUGCCUCAGGUUCUCUGGGCAAAUUUUAUGUUGUUUUGCCGUUCUAUGUCGCGAAUAUUGGCGACAAUUGCAUACUUAGAGAAGACGAGAAUUUUAAAUGAAUUUUUUGAGAUCGCCCUUAUAGUUUGACGAAGGAACGAAAGGAAAGAGCGCAGGCUAAUUUGUUUUCGAAUAGAAGACCUCGCCUCUUCGGCUCUUUCUCUCUCUCUCUCUCUUUCUCUCUCUUUCUCGCGAAUUUUUGAGGAGAGUUCUCGCAAUCUAAAAACUUUUCAAAACAAUUUUUUUUUAAUUUUUUUGGUUAAAUUUGGUGAUGUCUUUUUUGAGAAUAUUAUUUCUGAAAAUUGUAAUGUUUUAUGUCGUAAUAUAAAAUUGUGUGAUUCUUGCCUCAUAAACAGGUAUUCUCGUUGGAUUCUUCUACAUUUACAGUCGGAAGUGAAUAAAAUUUUGGAGGAAAUAAAAGCUCAAAAAGUUAUUGAGGAGUCGAAUAGCCUAUGGAUUUUCCUGACCGUUUUAAUUAAAAGAAGGACGGAACAUAAGAUUUUGUGCGGAUUAUCGGAAGUUCUAAAUACUGUUACAAUAAAAGACCCUUAUCCACUUGCGAGGAUUCACAAUAUUUUGGAUUGUUUAUCGGAGAAUGGUUUUACACUCUCAAUUUGAAAAGUGGAUAUUGGCAGAUUAUGCAUUUUUGAACCAUGUGUGAUUAAUAAAAAAAUAAAAAUCUAAUAUGGCGACUAACUUGGCCCCGUCGCAUGACUUUAAUUUAUGGAAAUCUAAAAUUUCUCCAAAACUUACGUGUAAAAACAGACUACUGGUGACAGUGUGAUAUUUUUAUUUAUUUAUUUUAAUAUUUUUGCAAAAUAUUAUUGCAAAAAAUGCUUUUUUCCAAAAUUCACUAGAACUGAAUAAUUAAGUUUCUGAAUAUUUUGAUGUAAAAAUUUUGAUAUUAGUAAAAAAUAAAAACCCCCCAAAAAUUUUGAAAAAAAACUUAAAUUAAAAAAAUAAAAAGAAUAAAUACAAAAAAGGCUCUUUAUCUCUCGCCCACCUCCUCGCGAAGAGAGUCGGACAAUGACAAAUUUUAUUCCUAACUUUGUCGGCUAAGAGACGUGAUUUUUUAAUACUUGAUCAGAUCUACAUUGCUCAACCGUAGAAUUGGUCAAAUUCAAUGUUUAUUUAAUUUCUCAUCCUGGGAUUAGUAUGCCCAUUUUAUAAUUGUAUUUAAUAUGCAUGUGAUAUGUGUGUGUGUGACGCUUACACACACACAUAUCACAAUCUUGUUUCGUCGAUCUUUGUCGAUUGUCGAUUUCCGUUCUGCACAAUUUUGUGACGGUCUCUGCACAUUAGGUGUAUCGCACGGGGAAUCGAAAUUUCGUUCACGUUCCUGCAAGCACUAAGCGAGUACUGACCGGAUCAAGCACGCAUAAGGUAGAAGGAACCCUUAACUUUUUCCCCAUGUUCCAUUUUCCCAGUACUGCUCGUUCUAAAAUGGCGUAUGUCUGAAAAUUGGUCUGACAAGAGAAGUGCAAACCUGAAAAUUCAGAAAAUUCUGAAAAAUCGUAUGCAAGUAAAGCAGUUCGUUCUUAUAAUUAAAUAAGGAACUAUAUUCUAUUUCCGCUAACUUCCACUUUACGGGGAUGAAAACACCCCUUCAAAAAAAAAAAAAAAAAAAAAA